rnacentral:rRNA from 1 species
GACGAACGCUGGCGGCGUGCCUAAUACAUGCAAGUAGAACGCACAGUUUAUACCGUAGCUUGCUACACCAUAGACUGUGAGUUGCGAACGGGUGAGUAACGCGUAGGUAACCUGCCUGGUAGCGGGGGAUAACUAUUUGAAACGAUAGCUAAUACCGCAUAAUAUUAAUUAUUGCAUGAUAAUUAAUUGAAAGGUGCAAUUGCACCACUACCAGAUGGACCUGCGUUGUAUUAGCUAGUAGGUGAGGUAACGGCUCACCUAGGCGACGAUACAUAGCCGACCUGAGAGGGUGAUCGGCCACACUGGGACUGAGACACGGCCCAGACUCCUACGGGAGGCAGCAGUAGGGAAUCUUCGGCAAUGGACGAAAGUCUGACCGAGCAACGCCGCGUGAGUGAAGAAGGUUUUCGGAUCGUAAAGCUCUGUUGUAAGAGAAGAACGGGUGUGAGAGUGGAAAGUUCACACUGUGACGGUAUCUUACCAGAAAGGGACGGCUAACUACGUG